CCUACGGGCGACAGCAGUGAGGAAUAUUGGUCAAUGGGCGCGAGCCUGAACCAGCCAAGUCGCGUGAGGGAAGACGGUCCUAUGGAUUGUAAACCUCUUUUGUCGGGGAGCAAAAGACGCCACGCGUGGCGUUCCGAGAGUACCCGAAGAAAAAGCAUCGGCUAACUCCGUGCCAGCAGCCGCGGUAAUACGGAGGAUCCGAGCGUUAUCCGGAUUUAUUGGGUUUAAAGGGAGCGUAGAUGGGUUGUUAAGUCAGUUGUGAAAGUUUGCGGCUCAACCGUAAAAUUGCAAUUGAUACUGGCAGUCUUGAGUACAGUUGAGGUAGGCGGAAUUCGUGGUGUAGCGGUGAAAUGCAUAGAUAUCACGCAGAACUCCGAUUGCGAAGGCAGCAUACCGGCGCCCGACUGACGCUGAGGCACGAAAGCGUGGGUAUCGAACAGGAUUAGAUACCCGAGUAGUC
rnacentral:rRNA from 1 species